AGAGUUUGAUCCUGGCUCAGAGUGAACGCUGGCGGUAAGCUUAACACAUGCAAGUCGAACGGAUUAGUAGCAAUACUGAUUAGUGGCAAACGGGUGAGUAACGCGUAGGAAUCUUCCUAGUAGUAAAGAAUAACCGAUAGAAAUGCCGGAUAAUACUGUAUAAUACCCUGAGGGGGAAAGACACGCAAGUGUCGCUAUUAGAUGAGCCUGCGUCAGAUUAGCUAGUUGGUGGGGUAAUGGCCUACCAAGGCUGUGAUCUGUAGCUGGUCUGAUGGGAUGAUCAGCCACACUGGAACUGAGAUACGGUCCAGACUCCUACGGGAGGCAGCAGUGAGGAAUAUUGGACAAUGGGCGAAAGCCUGAUCCAGCUAUACCGCAUGUACGAUGAAGGUCUUAGGAUUGUAAAGUACUUUCGGCAGGGAAGAUAAUGACGGUACCUGCAGAAGAAGCCCCGGCUAACUUCGUGCCAGCAGCCGCGGUAAUACGAAGGGGGCUAGCGUUACUCGGAAUAAUUGGGCGUAAAGGGCGCGUAGGCUGUCUGAUAAGUUAGAGGUGAAAUUCCGGAGCUCAACUCCGGCGCUGCUUUUAAUACUGUUAGACUGGAGUAUGGUAGAGGAUAGUAGAAUUCCUAGUGUAGGGGUGAAAUCCGUAGAUAUUAGGAGGAAUACCAGAGGCGAAGGCGGCUAUCUGGGCCAUUACUGACGCUGAUGCGCGAAAGCGUGGGGAGCAAACAGGAUUAGAUACCCUGGUAGUCC
rnacentral:rRNA from 1 species